rnacentral:rRNA from 1 species
GACGAACGCUGGCGGCGUGCCUAAUACAUGCAAGUCGAACGCUGAAACGAGGAGCUUGCUCUUCUUGCAUUAGUUGCGAACGGGUGAGUAACGCGUAGGUAACCUGCCUUUUAGCGGGGGAUAACUAUUGGAAACGAUAGCUAAUACCGCAUAACAAUGGAUAACACAUGUCAUUUUUUUGAAAGGGGCAAUUGCUCCACUACAAGAUGGACCUGCGUUGUAUUAGCUAGUAGGUGAGGUAAUGGCCAACCUAGGCGACGAUACAUAGCCGACCUGAGAGGGUGAUCGGCCACACUGGGACUGAGACACGGCCCAGACUCCUACGGGAGGCAGCAGUAGGGAAUCUUCCGCAAUGGGGGGAAACCUGGCCGAGCAACGCCGCGUGAGUGAAGAAGGUUUUCGGAUCGUAAAGCUCUGUUGUAAGUCAAGAACGGGUGUGGGAGUGGAAAGUUCACACUGUGACGGUAGCUUACCAGAAAGGGACGGCUAACUACGUG